GACGAGGGAUCCCUAGCGUUGUUCGGAAUCACUGGGCAUAAAGCGCACGUAGGCGGCUGACUAAGUCAGAUGUGAAAUCCCUCGGCUCAACCGGGGAACUGCGUCUGAUACUGGUCGGCUUGAGAACGGUAGGGGUGAGCGGAACUCCAGGUGGAGCGGUGAAAUGCGUAGAUAUCUGGAGGAACACCGGUGGCGAAAGCGGCUCACUGGACCGUCACUGACGCUGAGGUGCGAAAGCUAGGGUAGCAAAC
rnacentral:rRNA from 1 species